rnacentral:misc_RNA from 1 species
AAAGUCGUAACAAGGUCUCCGUAGGUGAACCUGCGGAGGGAUCAUCAAUGAAUUUUCACCCUAAAAAAAGUGGCUCCUCUCAUCAUAAUAACAUGAGGGGGUCGCCGCUUUUUCAAACAAACGAUCGCAGCUAUAUAAAAAUAUGGAAGAGAGAGAUUGGAUUGGGGAGGGGAAUUGGCUUGGAAAACACACAAGUGGUUGCCUGAUAAUUUGAUUGGAAAAGAAAAGAAAAAUACAACUUUCAACAACGGAUCUCUUGGCUCUC